UGUCCUGAAGGGGUUGGUGACUAGAAUUGUAAAUCCUGGAGAGUUUGUAAGUCUUCUGUCCCCAGGGAGGUGUCGUGCUUUGUUUACUUUUGUUCUGUUGGUUAGGCGCUGCUUCUCGUUGCAGGUAUGAAUUUCAAACUGCCCUGUUCUUAUUUUAACUGUUUUCCUGGUUCUCUCCGUCCGGCAGGGAAAGGCUCUCGUAUCCUUGUCGUCGGGCUCGGUGCUGUCCAAGAAGAUACGGGGACUAAAAAAAUCAUAAGAAGCAAAAUAUGACUGCAGGGAAAAGAAGCUGGAGAGAACAGAAGAAAUGGAAUUGGGACGACACCUCGGCCAGCCCCUCUCUGCCAUCGUCUCCUGAAUCUGCAGCAGAGCAGUUCCAGUCCAUCCGGGCACGUGUAAUCCAGUUCCUGAUGAUCUGAGCACACGGAGCAGCGCUCAGCUGCUGUGGGGGCUCACGGAAGGCAGAGUGUGCAUUGUCAUCUUCCUGAACGUACAGACAAAUCAAAGUGAGAAGCCACAGCGUGGAAAUCAGUCGCAUAUAUGCUAAAUAAAACUUGCAGAUUUUUUUAAGAA